rnacentral:rRNA from 1 species
UACGUAGGGUGCAAGCGUUAAUCGGAAUUACUGGGCGUAAAGCGUGCGCAGGCGGUUUUGUAAGUCUGUCGUGAAAGCCCCGGGCUCAACCUGGGAAUUGCGAUGGAGACUGCAAGGCUUGAAUCUGGCAGAGGGGGGUAGAAUUCCACGUGUAGCAGUGAAAUGCGUAGAGAUGUGGAGGAAUACCGAUGGCGAAGGCAGCCCCCUGGGAUAACACUGACGCUCAUGCACGAAAGCGUGGGGAGCAAACAGGG